rnacentral:rRNA from 1 species
CAGUCGCCGCGGUAAUACGGAGGGAGCUAGCGUUGUUCGGAAUUACUGGGCGUAAAGCGCGCGUAGGCGGUUACUCAAGUCAGAGGUGAAAGCCCGGGGCUCAACCCCGGAACUGCCUUUGAAACUAGGUGACUAGAAUCUUGGAGAGGUCAGUGGAAUUCCGAGUGUAGAGGUGAAAUUCGUAGAUAUUCGGAAGAACACCAGUGGCGAAGGCGACUGACUGGACAAGUAUUGACGCUGAGGUGCGAAAGCGUGGGGAGCAAACAGGAUUAGAGACCCCCGUAGUCCCUGUCUCUUAUAC